rnacentral:tRNA from 1 species
GCCUGGGUGGCUCAGUCGGUUAAGCAUCUGACUUCGGCUCAGAUCAUGAUAUCGUGGUCCGUGAGUUCGAGCCCCGCGUCGGGCU